GCAAAGUGAAUAUUUGUAUUUGUGUAGAACUAUUUUGGAACAUUACAUUUUCUGCUACAAAUCAGCUGGGUGUAGCCUAUGAGAAAUGUAUUCUUCAUCAGAUUUCUGGUUUGGUAGCUGAGUAAAACAAAUUUGCACUAAACUUUGCAACUUACUGCACUCAAUUUAUUAAACAUUUUGUUUAUAAUAUGUGAUGUCUUAAGAUAGGAGCACACAAGAAACCCAAAUGUGCAGAUUUUCAUGCAUUUUGGCUAUAUGUGAUCUAAGACUGAAUCAGGUCCAAAAUGAAAGUUUUUUUUUAGCCUCUUGCAUCAGUGAUAACUUUGACUAAGUUCAAUCACAAUUAUCAAAGAAUGGGAAUUUUGUGAAAAACAAAAUAAUGCCAUAAUCAAACAUUGAAUUUUGCAAAUCUAAAAGGCUUGGUUAAGUGAAUGCGAAUUAUUUCAAACCUGCAACAAACAAUUUGAAUUUAAAGUGCUGGCAUCAUAGGAGUACUCUGUCACUCAUUUUUCUACUUUUCAGGGUUGCUGGAAGCUUGUGUUUAUCUCCAGCAGUCACCGGGUGAGAGGUGGACCACCAGUUGCAUGCUCACUCACUUUUAGAGUGUCCAAGCAACCCAAAUAUGCUUAUUUUUCACUUGUGAGACUAAACACGAGUACUUGAAUAAAACCCACAUUCGCAUGGAGAGAACAGGCAACAGCUGGGUUUUGAACUUACAACAUUUUUGUUGUGAUACAGCUGAGUUACCAACACCGUAAAAUGAUCAAGUGUAAAAAUACUAAGAAAAAACAACUCCUUUUUGCAAAUAAAAAGAGCUUGACAAUAUUCGUUGAUAGCAACACUGAUGAUGUCACUAAUAACUCGCACUUCCUGAAUUUUUGCAAUUAAAUUCUGGGAGGAAAGUUAUCAAACAAAUAAACCCAAAAUAUUCCAGAACCUGUCCUGUUUGCUCUUUUCAAUAACCUUACUUUUACAUAACUUUCUUCAAAAUAAAGUAAAUGGUUAGCAAAUACCUUCGCCUUUUCCAAAACUACCGAAUAUUAUUUUGGUAAGAUUGUGCAAAAAGAACCCGGAAAUUGCUAUUGAAGUGGGUGUGUUCAACAAUGAACAGCCAAUCACGUAAAACGCAUGUUUUCCUAAGAGGACCUGGCACUUUGGUGGUUGCUAUGGAUACGAAUAUACUCUUCUGUCGCGUCUCUAAGAAUAGUUACACGCAUUAUUAGUUUUGUCUAGUUUUUUUAUUUUAUAAAAUGGACGAAAUUGGAAGUUUAGAAAUCAAAUGGAUCCAAGGGUUUACCGACAAGAACCUGGAGUUUGUGGAUAACUCAACGGUCUGUUACAGUUCUGGUAAUCAUAUUUGUUUCCUGAACCUGGAGACAAAAGUAAGAGAUGUGUUUCAGAGUCCUGGUAGAGGGGUCGCUGCUCUGACCGCUAGCAGCAAAAGUCGCAUUUUUGCUUUUUCGGAGCAAAAACUGUCCCCGUCUGUGUUCGUGUACAGCUUCCCUGAGCAACAACUGAAGAAUGAAUUAAAAGGUGAAGCACAGCUGGAUUACACAUCGUUGACAUUAAGUGAUCUCGGUCCAUAUUUGGGCAGUUGCUCUUCUUUUCCGGACCACACCAUCACAGUGUGGAACUGGGAAGCUGCUGAAGUCAUUUGCACACAGUCACAGGCUGGACAGGAUGUCAUAUCUUUGAUGUUCAAUCCUCUGGAUUGGCUCCAUCUUUGUGCUCUAGGCACUAGAACCCUCACCGUCUGGACUAUAGAUAAAGGUGUCAGCCUCACGUCCCUGAAACCAAGAGUCAUAGAGCUUCCAGUGACUGAUGGCUCAUCCACUGAAAAGCUCCAAGCGUCUCAUACUGAGCCGAACAGCAGAGUCCCAGUAACUCCUGCUGCCGUCUGCUGGCCAACAGCAUCAGAACUAUACGUGGGCUGUGAGGAAGGUCUGCUGCUCUGUGUUGACUUAAAAAGCUACUCUGUCUCAAUCCUUUUCAAUCCCACAUCUGCCGAUGCUUCCCCCGAACUCAGAAAAUUUAACUUUAGAAUGUUAAUUUGGACAGAAAAUGGUGUCAUUGCUGCAGGAAAGGAGAAGGUGGUUCACCGUCUGCAGAUCAAAAGGAAUCAAACAAGCAUCACACAAACAUGGCAGUUAGAGCGACCUGUAACGAAUGCUCUGCUCUCCCCAGACACUGAAACAUUACUCCUAUCUUCCAACACUGGGCAGAUCUAUCUGCUCAACCCAUCUCGGUCAAACCAGAGUGUGAAGGUCCUGGAUGUUCCCACUGGCAACUUUCUGGCUGCUUCUUUGUUGCACACUGACAGGAACACUUGUGUGUCAUUGACAGAAAACGGACUCCUGCAGCUGUGGUCCUCGGAUGGCACCUUACUUGGCUCCCUGCCUUUGCAAGUUGAGGUGACAGGUCUUUCCUGCUGUCCUAUUGCAUAUUAUGCAGCAGCUGGAACAGCCUCAGGAAGCGUCCUCUUUGUUGAUCUGAACAUGGAAGAAAAGCCACGCCUGGUGCACCAGGUUCAUCUUUUCCACACUGCUGUGGCUCAUGUGAUUUUUGAUCAAGAGGGACACUACCUUCUGAUCAGUGGCUCAGAUUCACACCUCUAUGUAAUUAAUGCAAAGCCGUCUGCAAGCUUUACCGUCGUUGGCUACAUAGUAAUUUCAGGAUGCAUUUUGUCGCUCUCCACUCAGUGCUUUGGCAAUGCUGACAAAGUUGACGUUCUUGCCUUGUGCAGCGACCAGGAAGGCAAACCUGAGGACGGUAGCUUGUUAACAGUGUUCUCGCUUCCUGUUGAGGACAUCACAGAUUGUGCUGACCGCCAUGGCUGCCUGUCUCCUCAAAUGCUCAGACUGAGCAAAUACAAAGUUCCUCUUCCCCUCACCUCCUGUGCUCUAGGAGUCGGUGAGGUCCUUGCUUACUGUCAAAGGAAUAAAUCGCUUCAGCGAUUUCAGCUUCCUGAGGUUUGGUGCAUCCAUCGUUCAACAUAUAAUCUUGACAUUGUCAAAUAUGUCUCUCACACAUUAAAGCUCUCCUCAAAGGUGACUGACGAUCCCUUCAGCCAACAAGUGGUCCAGAUAAAACCGGUGCAGGAGGUUAAACAUUACCCGCGGGGCCCGGCCUCUAUCCUUUUGUCUCCUAACUGCCUCUGGUUGGCUUCUUUAGGCCGGGAUGGUUUCCUGCACAUCAGUGAAACUGCCUCCAUGGAGCAAUACACCGAUCUGUUGUGUCAUUCACACCGACUUGGCGGAGGGCGGAGUGUGUUCUUCUCCAGAGAUAGCCUCACACUCCUCACUACUGGCUUCAACGAUGGCUCUCUUGUGUGCACUGAUUUCAGAAUUAGAGAUGUGGAGGAUGAAAAGGUAAAAAACGCUGCCCUGUGUAAUGACACUAUUGCUCACACACUGAAGAUAGUCUUUAAAGGUGAAAACCCCAUCCUUAUUAACCUUCCCGAGUUGGGCCCGCUGUCUCCUGGUGACAGAGAACAAUCAUCAGAGAGUGAGGUCAGUGGUGGACCCUCUUUGGAUGUGGCGAUAAAAGAUGCUUCCCACUCAACCCUCACAUGGCUGGAACGUAGACGAGAAACGAUUAUAAAAGAAGAUAAUGAGCAAUAUUCUGAGGCAAAGGAACAUCUGAGGAAAAAUGUCAGAGAGCUGUACGACACCUUUCAGAAAAUGCAUCGAGAAAAUGAGAGCAUCCCUCCGGAACAGUUCUGCUUAGAUGUUAAGGAGCAGAGGAGACUCCAGGACGUGGUGGAGCAAGAAAUUGAGAAGGUGAGAGCUGACAUUGAGCAGGGUAUUGCAGAGAAAUGUUACCUCUACGAUGUCCUGAAGAGAGAAAGCUGGGAACCUUGGAUGGUAAAACGUAGAGCUUUGAAGGCCUUCCUCUCUGAUCAGGUCAUAUGGAACUAUCCUGUUGAAGGGCGAACACAAAAAGAGUUGGAGGACCUCCGCUGGGUUCAGAACAUUAGAAAAUUUGAAGAGGCAGCCUUCACUCUUCACAGUGAGCAGAAAAGUUCCAGCGCACAGGAACAGCAGGACGACAGUCACAAGCUGCAGACCACUGCUCUGACAGAAAGCACCGCAGCUCACUUAGGAUUUUCAAACCCUCACGUCUACGACCAUCUCAGCUUGCUGACAGCAGACCAGAGAGUUAACCAGGUCAUUCUGCUACAGGAUUUGAUUUAUCACAUCAAGAUGUCUUUCAACUCCGAAUUUGAAGCCCUGCACAGCCAGAAAGAGCUGGAGCUCAAACGUGUGAGGAGCGAGAAUAACCAGAUGAGGGAAUGGAUGCUGGACCUGGACCUGGACCAGGAGCUGUGGGAGCCCGAGCAGACCGACAGCGAGUGGCCAGAGAGGCUGCUCACUGUGGACCAGUCUGAGAUUAAAGCAGAGAAGUACCUCCCCCCGGAGUGUCUGGAAAAGAAGGGGAGGAGGAAGCUGGAGGAGGAAAAGCAUCUCGCUGCUAAAAGUGACACCAAAGAAAGGGCUCUUCGUGAAAUGAUGGACGGAGUUAUCGAAAAGCAGAAAAAGGACAUUUUUAAAGUGGAAAUCUGUCAGCCUGAGUUUGUUCUGACUAAACCUGACGCUGACUGGACCGAGGAGGAGAAACAACGCUACAAAGAGCAUGAAGAGAAGAUCAGAGAAACCAACCAGCAGAAGGAGAAAUACAGACAGUCUUUGGAAGCUGAAAUAAAACAACUGCAGGAAUCCAAUCAAAAUGCCGCCAGAAAGUUUGACGAAGCCCUGGUGAAGCUGUUCAAGAAGAAGUUUCUGUUUACAGCAGCUAUAUACCAGGAAGAGCUAAGGGUUUACUACCUAAUGGACUCGCUGUUCACUGAAGACCAGAUGAGGAACCAAGAGCAGGAGCUCAAGCUCCAACAUGAAAGAACAUUGGCACACAAGAACGAAUGUUGUGAGGAGGUGAACAGAUACCAACGUGAGGUGGAACGGCUCAGGGAGGAAUCCGAGCACUUGGUAAAAACCAACCAGGCGUUUGAAAAAGACUUCAAGAAGGAGUUUAAAGACGUGUCUCAUCAUUUGGUUGAUGUACUUUACAAGCUCUUCAAGCAUAGACCGAGGGUUCAACAGAUGAGAGCCCAGACUGAAAACAGGGAGCCUCUUCCUUCUCCAGUCCAAAUGCAGACGGCUAUGGAGGAGCUGGAUGCUCCAGGAAACAUGCCAAAGGGUUUGAAACCAUCCGUCUGGAGGAGGUUUUGCCAAAUGCGCAGAAAAAAAGUAGAAACCGAGUUGAAGAUAAAAACAACAAUCUCCACUCUUGCUGAGAUGCAGGCCGUCAUUGUGAAGAGAAAAGACAAGGAGAAAGCUUUUCAGGGGGAGUUGGAGAAGCUUUCAGAAGCGCUCAAGAGUUUGCACAAAGAGAGGAACAAACACCCGCUGAACGGGGCGGUCCUAGUUAGACUCAAACAGGGACAGGUGGUGUCCCCCUUCAACAGGACAGCUGACAGCACAGGCACCGACUUCAUCCUCUGUCACAGGAGUGUGAGAGACAGCAAGAGACACACAAUCACGGAUCUUGCAACAGCGAAGAUCGCCUCUACGGAGCGUCUCCAAAGUAUUCGUGAACAGAUAGUCCAGCUGGAGUGGGAGCACAGGGUGUUAAAUAAGACGGCAGAAGACCUCAAAGACAACAAGAAGGACAUCAAGAUGUUUCGACUCUCAAAGGAGCAAAAAGAGAUGAAUGGGUUUUCUUGCUGUUUUGGUGAAAUGCUAAUCCUGUUAGCAUGUCUGGCCAAACGCCUGUCUGUGAUUUCAAGUUUUGCAGCAAAGAGGAGCGAGAGCAUCGCAUAUCUGAGCAAAUUGCCAGUUUGGAGAAAACUUUGGCAAAAAAGACUCUUCAGCAGAGUGCUCAGCAGAUGUUUAAAAAGAUUGCACUACUUAAGAAAAAAGCGGAGGAAAAAGCAAAGAACAGCCUCAGCUUAGAGCAGCAGAUUCCUGACUUGCAGGCGACUUUGGCAGAGCUUGUGAACGACAAGGGAACAGUUAUAGCUGCAGACGAAAAUGCUGAGAGAAAUGCCUGCUACCAGGAAACCGUUCAAAGGAGUAACUUGGAGAGCCUUGCCAGGGAACAGGCAGAGGAACUGCAGUUCCUCUGGGAAGAAGUUGAACAUCUGAGGAGGAGGAAUUUCCCGUGUUUUGAUCUGCCGAAACACUACUGAUUAAAAACUUUUCUUCAAAACUUAGAACAUGAAAUGUACUUUUAUUGUGAACGGGAAUUAUAGAAACACCAAAUAAAACUUGCAGUUGUGCUGACUUCUC